rnacentral:tRNA from 1 species
UCGGAUAUGGUGUAACGGCUAACAUUGCCGCCUUUCAUACGUGAAAGGUCCGCGGCAGCUCGGGGUUCGAUUCCCCGUAUCCGAA